AAAAUAUAAUAAUUAUUAGAAUUAUAAAACAUGACAAUCUGCGUAUGGUAAGUGAUACGUGACGACAUAAGUGAAAAUUCUGUCCACGUGGCAACAUCUUGAUGGAUCCAGCCCAUUUGUUGGCUCCAAUGAAGUCUCCAAAUGCUUUCUCAAAAGAAGUUUCAAGGUACUCCUUUAGGAUACCAUGGCCACCGACCACCGGUAUUGGCAAAGAACAAUGCCCUGUAAGGGACAACCCGUAUCACCAGCAUUGCAACACAAUAGCACAUAAAGCCAACUACCAAACCUUGAUCAAAUUAAAG
rnacentral:misc_RNA from 1 species